GACGAAGGGGGCUAGCGUUGUUCGGAAUUACUGGGCGUAAAGCGCACGCAGGCGGUUGUGGGCGUCGGUGCUGAAAGUCCACUGCUUAACAGUGGGAUGCGUGCCGAUACGCCAUAACUGGAGCGAUGCAGAGGCCAGUGGAAUUGCCGGUGUAGUGGUGAAAUGCGUAGAUAUCAGGAGGAACACCGGUGGCGAAAGCGGCUCACUGGACCGUAACUGACGCUGAGGUGCGAAAGCUAGGGGAGCAAACGGG
rnacentral:rRNA from 1 species